CCAAUAGCGUAUAUUAAAGUUGUUGCAGUUAAAAAGCUCGUAGUUGAAUUUCGAGACCGGUUUAUUGGUCGUGCUUUUGUACGUACUGGUAUUAUUGGUUUCUCCUUUCUGACGAAUCUUAAUGCCAUUAAUUUGGUGUUUUGGGGAAUCAGGACUGUUACUUUGAAAAAAUUAGAGUGUUUAAAGCAGGCUCACGCUUGAAUACAUUAGCAUGGAAUAACGGAAUAGGACGUUUGAUUCUAUUUUGUUGGUUUCUAGGAUCGACGUAAUGAUUAAUAGGGAUAGUUGGGGGCAUUAGUAUUCAAUUGUCAGAGGUGAAAUUCUUGGAUUUAUUGAAGACUAACUACUGCGAAAGCAUUUGCCAAGGAUGUUUUCAUUAAUCAAGAACGAAAGUUAGGGGAUCGAAGACGAUCAGAUACCGUCGUAGUCUUAACCAUAAACUAUGCCGACUAGGGAUCGGAUGAUGUUAAUUUUUUAAUGACUCAUUCGGCGCCUUACG
rnacentral:ncRNA from 2 species